rnacentral:rRNA from 1 species
UACGUAGGGGGCAAGCGUUGUCCGGAAUUAUUGGGCGUAAAGAGCGUGUAGGCGGCCAGAUAAGUCCGCUGUGAAAACUCGAGGCUCAACCUCGAGACGUCGGCGGAAACCAUCUGGCUAGAGUCCGGAAGAGGAGAGUGGAAUUCCUGGUGUAGCGGUGAAAUGCGCAGAUAUCAGGAAGAACACCCGUGGCGAAGGCGGCCUGCUGGGCAGUUGCUGACACUGAGGCGCGACAGCGUGGGGAGCAAACAGG